rnacentral:rRNA from 1 species
UAGGGAAUAUUGGACAAUGGGGGCAACCCUGAUCCAGCCAUGCCGCGUGAGUGAAGAAGGCACUCGGGUUGUAAAGCUCUUUUGUCCGGAAAGAAAAGCUUCGGGUUAAUACCCCGGGGUUCUGACGGUACCGGAAGAAUAAGCACCGGCUAACUUCGUGCCAGCAGCCGCGGUAAUGCGAAGGGUGCAAGCGUUACUCGGAAUUACUGGGCGUAAAGCGUGCGUACGUGGUUGUUUAAGUCUGAUGUGAAAGCCCUGGGCUCAACCUGGGAAUGGCAUUGGAAACUGGGCAGCUAGAGUGCGGUAGAGGGUAGUGGAAUUCCCGGUGUAGCAGUGAAAUGCGUAGAGAUCGGGAGGAACAUCUGUGGCGAAGGCGACUGCCUGGACCAGCACUGACACUGAGGCACGAAAGCGUGGGGAGCAAACA